rnacentral:lncRNA from 1 species
UGCCAGCCUCCUGGGGCCAGGCGGGGGGCGGAGGGGACGGGGGGGACACGAUGCCCUGUGACGUGCCACCUCGCCAUCCCAGGGCCCGAGCAGUGCACGUGGGGCGCGUGGAGCCCCUGUUCCCAGACCUGUGGCACCGGCCUGGCCACCCGGGAGGGUUCCUGCCCCUGCCCAACCCCCGGGACCCCCGGUGCCCCCUGCAACAACAGCACUGGGGUUGGUGCCAGCCUACGCCGGGAGCUGGAGCCUUGCUACCUGCAGCCCUGCCCAGGUAGGGAGGCGGGCAGGGGCAGGGGGCGGUGGGCUCGUCCCCAGCCCUCACCCUUGUCCCCUCUCUGCCCCAGACGAGUGCUCCUGGAGCCCCUGGAGCCCCUGGAGCCCCUGCUCCUGCAGCUCCCCACUGCAGCACCGGCACCGGCACCGGCAUGGCCCCGGCACCUGCAUGGGGCUGGAUGGGGAGCUCCGCGACUGCGACACCUCGGGGUGCUCGGGUGAGGAGGGGGCUGCUGGGGACCCUCCUGUGCUGGCACUGCCCGGUGCCGUCACCCUCCCCAAACCUUCCUGUCCCUGCCUCCUGCCCUGCCCCUGCCCGUCCUGGUGCCUCCGGGGGUGUCCGAAGCGUCUCCUCUCCCCGCAGACGCCAGCUGUGAGCCCCCCUUCGAGUUCCAGCCCUGCGCCCCCCCCUGUGCCCGGCUCUGCUCCUCCCUGCAGCACCCACAGCUCUGCCCGGCCCUGCCCCGCUGCCUGCCCGGCUGCUUCUGCCCCCAGGCAAGGGCAGGAAGGGGUGGCUGGGGUGGGUUUGGUGGGGUGGGGGCCACCCGGGUGGACUCUGUGGGGUCAGGGAGGGCUUGGGAAGAGCCUGGUGCCCACAGGGAGCCCUGGGUGCAAAUGGAUGGCUGGGGGGACACUGGGGACUUCAUGGGGAUGCUGCAGGGAUUUUAUGGGGAAGCUGCAUGGGGAUGCUGAGGGCACACCCCAUGUGCCCCACUCCACAUCCCCCUGUCCGGGCAGGGGCUGCUGGAGCAGCGCGGAGCCUGCGUGCCCCCCGAGCAGUGCGACUGCCUGCACACCAACGGCACCGGUGGCUCCGUGGCCCUGCCUGUGGGGAGCAGCGUCCUGCUGGGCUGCAAGAAGUGCGUGUGCCAGGACGGGGCCCUGCGGUGCAGCAGCGAGGGCUGCCAGGGUGAGUGUGCCCCCCGAUACUGGGACGGGACCCCCAGCCCCAUGGGCUGUGCAUGUGGUCCCAUAUCCCCUGUGGGGCACUCCAGGGGCUCCCAGCCCCCCAGCAGCUCCGUGUCCCCGCAGGGCUGCUCCCGCUGAGCCCCUGGUCGGAGUGGGGACCCUGCGGCCCCUGCCUGCCCCUGCCCACGCCGCUCCUGCCCCAGCCCGAGGAGGCUCCGGGGGACCUCGUGCCCCAGGUUUCGCUGCAGCACCGCUACCGAGCCUGCCUGGACCCCGAAACCGGCCUGCCCUGGGCUGGCGAUGUGGCUGCUUGCACGGCGGAGCUGCGCCAGGAACGGCUCUGCCCCGACCCCCACGUGUGCCAAGGUACCGGGGGUGCUGCGGGGUGAGGGGCUGA